rnacentral:rRNA from 1 species
GGAUUAGAUACCCUGGUAGUCCUUGCCGUAAACGAUGCAUACUUGGUGUAGCUGGACUCAACCCCGGCUGUGCCGUAGCUAACGUGUUAAGUAUGCCACCUGAGGAGUACGCCCGCAAGGGUGAAACUUAAAAGAAUUGACGGGGGCCCGCACAAGCAGUGGAGCAUGUGGUUUAAUUCGAUGCAACGCGAAGAACCUUACCCAGAUUUGAAAUAUAGAGGACCGCGUCAGAAAUGGCGUUUCCCGCAAGGGUCUUUAUACAGGUGCUGCAUGGCUGUCGUCAGCUCGUGCCG